rnacentral:misc_RNA from 1 species
AAUCAAUAACAAGUGAAAAAGUCCAUACUCAAUUAUCAUUCCACUGAAGUGAGCGCCUGGGGUAGAAAAUUUGAAUAUUUGGUCCUACUUCUCAUCAUUUUUGAAUGAAGGGGUUACACAAAAGACUUAGGCCUGCAACCCUAGGUGUAUCACAUGUCAGAUUGGGGGAUUGGUGAUACAAGGAACCAUUGUGACUUUAAGACCAAGACCUUUAUCAUUAGUCCAAGUAAUGGCAAUAAUUCACUAGCAAGUAUUAAGUAACUAAGUACCACAAAAAUUCACUAGGCAAACUAUUAGCAAAGAUCUAAUGCCACACUCACAUCACAACCAUCCAACUCUCCACUAUGUUGAAAUGUUUCAAAUAUAACCAUAUUACA